rnacentral:sRNA from 1 species
CCCUCGAUGAUCCCUUGUUGCUCCUGGU